rnacentral:rRNA from 1 species
AACGAACGCUGGCGGCAUGCCUAACACAUGCAAGUCGAACGAGACCUUCGGGUCUAGCGGCGCACGGGUGCGUAACGCGUGGGAACUUGCCCUUAGGUUCGGAAUAACUCCCCGAAAGGGGUGCUAUUACCGGAAAAUGUCUUAGGACAAAAGAUUACUCGCCUUCGGAUGGGCCCGCGUUGGAUUAGCUAGUUGGUAGGGUAAAAGCCUACCAAGGCGACGAUCCUUAGCUGGUCUGAGAGGAUGAUCAGCCACACUGGGACUGAGACACGGCCCAGACUCCUACGGGAGGCAGCAGUGGGGAAUAUUGGACAAUGGGCGAAAGCCUGAUCCAGCAAUGCCGCGUGAGUGAUGAAGGCCUUAGGGUUGUAAAGCUCUUUUGCCCGGGAUGAUAAUGACAGUACCGGGAGAAUAAGCUCCGGCUAACUCCGUG